rnacentral:misc_RNA from 1 species
GAUGAAGAACGCAGCGAAAUGCGAUAAGUAGUGUGAAUUGCAGAAUUCAGUGAAUCAUCGAAUCUUUGAACGCACAUUGCGCCCUUUGGUAUUCCAAAGGGCAUGCCUGUUCGAGCGUCAUUUGUACCCUCAAGCUUUGCUUGGUGUUGGGCGUCUUGUCACUAGCUUUGCUGGAGACUCGCCUUAAAGUAAUUGGCAGCCGGCCUACUGUUUUCGGAGCGCAGCACAAGUCGCACUCUCUAUCAGCAAAGGUCUAGCAUCCACUAAGCCUUUUUUUCAACUUUUGACCUCGGAUCAGGUAGGGAUACCCGCUGAACUUAAGCAUAUCAAUAAGCGGAGGA